rnacentral:rRNA from 1 species
UACGUAGGGAGCAAGCGUUGUUCGGAUUUACUGGGCGUAAAGGGCGCGUAGGCGGCGCGGUAAGUCACUUGUGAAAUCUCUGAGCUUAACUCAGAACGGCCAAGUGAUACUGCAGUGCUAGAGUGCAGAAGGGGCAAUCGGAAUUCUUGGUGUAGCGGUGAAAUGCGUAGAUAUCAAGAGGAACACCUGAGGCGAAGGCGGGUUGCUAGGCUGACACUGACGCUGAUGCGCGAAAGCCAGGGGAGCAAACGGG